UUAUCUAUGUGUUGUAAGUCGCUCUGGAUAAGAGCGUCUGCUAAAUGACUUAAA
rfam:Salmo salar isolate Sally breed double haploid chromosome ssa01, whole genome shotgun sequence.